GUGGGUAACCUGCCUUAUAGUGGGGGAUAGCCUUUCGAAAGGAAGAUUAAUACCGCAUAAGAUUGUAGUAUCGCAUGAUAUAGCAAUUAAAGGAGCAAUUCGCUAUAAGAUGGACCCGCGUCGCAUUAGCUAGUUGGUGAGGUAAUGGCUCACCAAGGCGACGAUGCGUAGCCGACCUGAGAGGGUGAUCGGCCACAUUGGGGACUGAGACACGACCCAGACUCCUACGGGAGGCAGCAUG
rnacentral:rRNA from 1 species